UUUUUUUUUUUUUUUUGUGUUAAGUACUAAGCAGGUUUCAUUCUACACUUGAACUUUACCAACAUAACUUAAUUUAAGUUAUGAUAAUAAUAAAUUUUCUAAAAGUUAUACAUAAAACAUGGAAUGAUAAAUAUAAUUAAAAUAUCAUAAUUCACCAUAAGUUUUCAUAAAUUCAUUAUAAACAUAAAUAGAUACAAUCCAAAUGUUCACCAAUUAUCACAAAUAAAAACACAAAAAAUAAAUAAAUUAAAUAUUGAAAUUCUUUUACAACCCUUAAAAAAAUCCAUAAAAGAGUUCAAGUUAAGACAAACUAUUUGAAUAGCAAACUUUUAUCAGUGGCAUGAUAAGCAACCACACCACCUUCACAAUUUCAUCAACUUAAGCUGAAAAAGUUAAAAUUUUAUUAUAAAAAUAUAAAUCUAAUUGCUCAAACUAAAAAAAACUAAAAAUUUUUGAAAAACAAAUAUACAGUUAAACACAUAAAAAAUUAAUUGCUACUAAACAUUACUAAUUAACAUGUUAUAUUAAAUUCAAUGAUCCUAUACCAUUAAUUAUUUUAAAUUCAAUUAUCAAUAGCUUCGAUUAUGUGCCAACUACCAUAUUUUUGACCAGCCCAAUGUUAUUAUUUGUAAUUCCUACCCAAUUCCUACACGAAUGUGCACUACUUUUGCAAAAAUUUCAUCCUUAAUUAAUCGAAUAAAAAUAAAACAAAAAUGAGGGAAACAUAUGAAAAUUGAGGGGAAAAAGAAGAAAAUGCAAAAAAUCAACUAAAGAUAAUAAUAUAGAAAAAAAAACCUUGAAAAGAAAAAAAUUAAACUUACUAAGAUGUUGGAAAACAAGAAAAGUUGAAAUUUUCAACUUGUUUACAAUUUGCUAAAGAUAAUAACCUGAUAAUAAUGGUGAAGACUUGAGAAAAUCUUGUUGUGGAUAUUUGGGUUAAAAAUGGUUAAGAAGAAAAAAUUGAAAAAAAAAUAAGAGAAGAACUUGAUGUUUUAAUAUAUUUUUUAGUCAAGUAGAAUUCUCAACAAACUUAACUAUAGUCUAGCGGUGAGAUUGUCAUAUCCAAACUUGGAGACCCAAGUUCGAAUCUUAGCUACACCAUUCUUGAUAUUUUGUUGAAGAAUUUUAAAAACCGCCGGUUCACGGUUCUUAACGGUUCGCACAGUUUGUCCGGUUCAUUCGGGUUCAACGGUUCUCCAUGAACUUCCGGCUUUAGCAUUAGACCAGACUGGUGACAUGGCCGGUUCGCGGUCCAACCGGUCGAACCGGCCGAUCCGGUCCGGUUCUGAAAACAUUGAUUAGAAGUAGUUACUUGUGUGAAUCAUAUUGUUUUUUUUUUUUUUGAUAAUGUGUGUGAAUCAUAUUGUUGUUUUAUAGCUAUUUAAGGCCAUCUACAAGUUCCAACUAUUGCCUUACUCGUACGGACCACCGACCCAUGAGUUGUUGUUAUAUGGAUUUGUUUGAAUGUCAAAUUUUUUUAAGUAUUAUUUUGCUUAUAUUACAAAUAUGUUUUCGAAUUACCUUUGUGGAUUUUUAAUUAUUUUUUUAUUUUACGCAUAUCACAUCAGAAAAUAUACUGCAGUAAUUAUUGUAAAAGAUUUGUCAUUCCUAAAUUCGAACAAAUGGAGGAAAAGGCGACAUCGGACAAAACCACAAUUUGUUAGAUUAUUGUGGUUCUAUUUAUAUUAAAACUCUCGAGGAUUGAAUCAAAUUGGGCCACAUUGACCACAUACAUGGUUAAUCUAUGAAAAAAUCAAACACCUUUUUUAUAUUUUGUUUCUUGUUUCAUUCUUUGCUUGUAUGCUAAUUCAAUGCUGUACCUACUGGACAUCUGGUUUUCCAUUUAGAUUCGAUACGUAGAAGGUAAAGGCAUAUGACGAUUUGAUGGUCAUGGGAUUUUGUAGCAAAAAAACAACAUGCAAAAUGAAAAAAUUAUGUUGCCACUUUUUAACAAAAAUCAGGAAGCAAAUUAAUUCUAAGAUAUUAGAGUUUAAUUUUAUAAAACUUUUUCACCUUAAUCUAGUAAGAAUUAAAAGAUAAUCGAUCAAAACCUUAUGUUAGUGUAAAGGAAAAUCUUGGAAAAAAAUAAAUUGAGAUUUACAGAUGAAGAGAAAGCAAAACGGUCAUUAAGUUGUGACAAGAUGAAUGAGAUUUCUUAUUCAUAAGCGAUAAUGAAUUGCACAUAAAAAAAAUAUUGUGUUCAACACAAUAUAGAAAUCUAUAUUUAAACACAACGAAUCCUAAUUCAAAGUGAUUUUCGCAGAACAUUCCUCAUCGUGCUAACUCAAAUAGGUAUCAAAUUAAUGAAAAAUCACCUUGUGUUUUGUCUUCCCUUCUUUGCUGCAUUGGCGUUAAUAAAUUUUUGCUUCUUCAAGAGAAAUGUACGAUCUGCCGAAGACAUAAAAAGUGUUUGUACGGGAGCGAAAUCCCAUGCCAGGGUCCAUGGGACGUGGUGAUACGCGCUUGCUAUACGUCUAAGUUCAAUACGUAUCAGAUUAAACUAAAACAUUGGUAAUUUUUGGCAAUUUUUUUUUUUGUGGUAGUUGGGGUGGGGGCGAAGAUGGUGUGGAAAUUGUGCUGGAGAAAGAAAGUAAAAGAGUUGGUGGAUAUGGCUGGUAAAGGCCAAAGGGAGAGCAGUGUGGUAGGCCAGGUUGGGCCACUACUUCCCACUUAUGGCUGGAGAGAAAGCGUACUUGUCAGCGCAUUAAAUACUUUUCCGAAAGUACCCUUUGAUUGAUUAUCACCAAAUGACUGCAGCCAAUCACACUACACACAGGCCGUUAGGUGAGCCGGUGAACUGGGGCCAACUCAGUUAUUAAUAUUUUUUUAAAACCUUUUUUUUUUCCAGUACAGAAGGUGAGAUUUAAGGGGUCAAGAGGCAAAAGAAAAUUUUAAAUUUAAAACCUCUAGUAGGCCUGUAAAUCGAAAUAUAUGAUUCGGAUUUUCAUAAGUUCAUGUUCAACUCAUUUAAUUUGUAGUACUUUCGGAUUUCAGGUCAUAAGUUUCGAAUUAAUAAAUGUGAUGAUCAUACUAAAUUCACAAAAUAUUCAAGUUUUAAACUUUAUUCGGAUUUAAUCCAAAUUCACUUACUACUCCUCAAUUUUCGUAAUAUAAUUACUAUAACUAUCGAGUUGUAAAGUAAAUUUAACAUUCACAGGACAACAACAUUAAAACUAAACAUAAACAAAUAAUAGGUCUUAAAAGUAUAUGAAUCAAGAAUUUUUCAAUAAUAUUUAUAUCUAAUUCAUUCAAAAUACAUAAAAAUAGUAAUAAAACAUGCGGUUAUAAACCAAUAUAUCUUCAAAUGUUGGAAUUUCUUCAUUAUUUGGUGACUUGAAUCCAAACAUGUUUGAUUAUUUAUGUUUCCAGAUAAAAAAGAAAUCAACUAUUAUUAUGCCAACACAAAAAUUUAUUCAACCAAUAAAAAAAGUUAAAGUUUCAGUUAUGCAUUACCAAUAUUGGCUCUCGAGAAAACUAGUAGAAGAGUCUCCAAAUGUAUUUUUAUGUUUUAUAAUUUAUAUAUAUAAUUAUAUAUAAUAUCAAAAUACAAAAUAUUAUAUAUAUAUCAUUAUAUAUACAGGUAAUUUAAGAGUCGGGCUUAUAUUGGAUUUGAGUUUAAUGAGACUCAAACUCGGCUCAUAUUUAGUUUGAGCCUAAAAAACUCAUAUCGACUCAUUAAAAGGUUGGAUUCAUCGAAUUUUUUUUCGGGUUGAACGAGCCGAGCUCUAGUUAGCUCAGUCCCAUUGAUAGUCCUAGCAUCUAAUAAUCUUUAUUGGAAUCUCAGUUUUAGUCACAAAAUUAAGACCUUAUCUUUUCUUUUUGCUCUCCCACCCGAAGAAGGGCUUUGAUUCCCUUCCUCUGCCCGCCAGCCUAAGAGGCGUUGGUUAUGAAGACCUUAUCAAUAUUCAUGUGUUAUUUUUUUUUUAUGUGAUUAUAUCUUGUAAUGGCUAGACUGACCAUAACAUGAUACAAUAUUAAGUUUGUCCAUUAUGGGGCAGUGGUUGUUGAAAUGUGUAUUAGGUGUUAAUUUUUUGAAAAAUAAUUUGUUAAGUGCAGUAGGAUAAUACACGCAAGUAUCUGUAUUUAAAUGACAAAUUAUAUACCAAUUAAGUAUGUUAAUCAAUGCCUGUCAAGCAUCAAUUAGGAAAAUCCAUUUUUAAAUCGUAAUCACUUGCUAGACCCAAAUAGAGGUGGGGCCACUACUUGCGUGAUUAGAUACCUCAAAAAACAAAAAUGGGCUUAGGAAAGUUCACUUUGAUACGCAAUCACUUGCCAGACCCAAAUAGAGGCGAGGCGGCACUUGCGCGAUUAGAUACCUCGAGAUUUGGCUUUCGAUUAGAGACCCUAAAAAGUUGCCGGCUUUUGUGGGUUUUCACGGGGUUUAGGUUUGUCAAAAUAUCAAAAGUCCUUUGAACUUGAAAAAAAAGACAUCAGCCUCAUUUUCCAGGGGAGUAUCGGGUCUAGUUAGGUCUCGCCCUUCGAGGCAGGCUCCCUUGUGGAAGUUGAUAUCCCACAUCGGGGUUUAGGAGAUUUGGGAUAGAGUAGAUAAGUCUCCUGUGAGACCCUCAAAAGUUGCCGAUUUUUGUGGGCUUUCACGGGAUUUAAGUUUGUCAAAAUAUCAAAAGUCCUUUGGGCUUGGAAAAAAAAAAAGAGAAUUGGCUUUCGAUUCAAACUAGUCAUGGCAUGGGGCGUCGAAAACUUGUUUACUUGACCCCUUGCUAGAAGAGUUUUUCUUGUUAAUUAUCUGAUGAAUUUUGUAAACCUCAACGUAGGAGCUGUUCAUCGGGGUUGUUGCGAUGCACAAAAUAUUCGGAAUUUAGAUGGAAUCAUGAAUAAAAAAUAAAAUAAAAUACAACUACUGUAUAUACACAGUGAGGUUAGGCUGUGCAUAUAACAUGGGACAUGGGAUUUUGAAAUGGACAUGCUCUGUCCCCAUUUAUCGGUUGACUUCAAGGAGUGAUAACAGGCCGACAAUGCGUUCAUUAAGAGAGAGGGAGAUACAAGUAGGUCAGUUCCUCUCCUCAUAAAAAAAAAAAUCAUAUGUCUGAAUCUUGCGAUAAACGUGAGAAUUGGAUUGAAAGAUUGUAUUGAUACGUAAUUUGUAAGAAUUCAUAUCAGUGACCUAUAAUUUUAGAGAUAUAUUUUGAUUGAAGUCGAAGCCAUGGUUUUGAAGUCAUAUUCUAACUUCUUGUAAUGAUAAUCAGAAUCGAAUUCAUUGAAUUUUUUUUUUUUUUUUAAUAGAAAAGAAGGAGGGAGGGAGGAGAGGAACCAAAAAAAAAGGCACACCCAGUAGCUAGUUUGGAUUGCUGCUAUUUAUAAAAAUAUAUUAUAAUAAUUUGAUUUAUAGUAUACGAGGGAAAAAAUUAAUUAAAAAUAUAUUAACAAAAAAAAUUUUGUGCGAAAAACUACCAUCCAAACAAGGCGUACAAGACCUUAUCAUAAGCAUCUUUAAUGGGAUACAUGACUUAAUUCCCCGACAGCCGGAAUGAGACCACUUCACAGAAUGGGCAUCAUUAUUUUUAGUUAGUAGGGCAAGCAGGCAGGCUUAUUUUUGAAGAAAAUAAGGCACUUUUCUUGUCUCCACGAAUUAACCUCGGCCAACAUGGUUUACACCCCUACAUUAAUUGAUUAUGGAAGACCAAAAGCAUUCUAAUCCUCAUCAUCAUGCACUCGACCAUACUAACUACUAGUAUUUUCUUCGAAAUAAAACAGAGUAGUUUAUUGUUCGGCAAGAAAAAUAAGAAAGAUUACCCUAGAAUGUAGCAGUAUAUUAGUACUAAUUAAUUCUCUAAAAAACGCGCUGCUACUAAUCUUAAUCGUGCUGAAGCUUUCUAUCAAGAUAACCGAUAUCAUUAGAGAUCAUUAAAGUCCAAAUUGCCCGAUUAAGAUUAGUUUCAUUUUCAUCACGGGUCAUUAGCAUGUUUGUGGAUGAGUCAUGGAUCAUGAGCAAAAGAAAAAGCAACAAGUUACGAAUAGGAAAACAGAGCACAAGUCUGAAAAUCCAAUACCCUAUGUUCCUGCUUUCCAAAAAGCCAAACUCAAAAUCAAAGUCAAAAUGAUCACCACUCACAAGUAUAAAGAAAGAAAGAAUUUAUGCUCAAGAACCGUAGCACGGCAUCAUUCAUAUUAUAGUUUAGGUGGUAACCCUGUAAACUAGAUGAUCAAUGCAAAUGUUCGGCCUUUCCCUAGUAGAUGUAUGCCAUAAGGUGGUUUUUUCAAGGUUAAAAAAGAAAUUUGUAACAUAAACUGAAGGAGAAAAAUAAGUGUUCUAGUUAAGUCCUAUCUUUCCCGUGCUUGGAAAAUAAUUAAAAAAAAAAAAAAAAACACAGUACAUAUAGAGCUACAGAAGGACUUGGAGUAAAAUUUACUUGGUAAAUUAAUGAAUGAAGCAGUAUGUUUAAUUUUUUUUCCCCCCUUGCACCUGAUUUUACAUGUAUAUAUAGAGAUACAAAAGGAAAUGUAACAUAUCUGUAACUACGGAAAUGUAUGCCUCGUACUAACAGUUUCAUGUACAAUCGUGGGAACAAAUCACAAAAUGAAUAUUUUAGGUCCUUGGGCCCUCAGUUCUGGUGCCAUAGAUAACGUUCAUGCUUCAAGCACCAGAGCGCCCCUUCAGCAGCGCUCUGUUCAGCAUCCUUCUUUCUUGGCCGGGGCACCCCACAACAUUCCAGUACUUGAUUCAAGGCGUCAUCAAUUUCCACCACCACCUUGAACGUGUAUCUGUAACAUAUAGCCAAACUCAAUAUUUCGACGCGAUUGAAAUUUGACCAAAAAAUUAUCUAACUUGGGAUUUGGUAUGCGAACUUCAAAGGUGUCAUGAUUAAUGCAUAAAAACCUAUAUGAACGCUCCCUGUCCCGAGAAACAAAAAACAAGAAAAAUAAAGUUGAUUGAUUAACAGGAAACAUCAAACUAAAGAAACUACUGUAUAAUAGCAACUCCCUAUUUUGGCACAAGGGAAGAACCAGAAGGCAGGGGAAAGGUGCAAGGCUUCUGGAGCGCUACAAGUGGCUAUUGGUCUACCCUUGUCGUUGGUCUCAUAAUUAGAGUACCAAGACUACGGCUUUUUAGCUUCUAACUAUAUGUUGUCUUUCCAAAAAUGGCACAUCUCCAGCCUCCGGUCUCUUAACAGAAGAAAGCCCCUCCCUGCUAAAUCCCAAGAUAAACAAAACGCACGUCUCUUUAAAAUUUGCCCCAUAACUCUGAAAGCAUAUAUCUACAUUUGCUGAUGGCAUAAAAUCAUGUAUGAAGUGAGACAGAGGGAGCACUCACAUUAUUUGACGUAACUUUAAUCCAAACUACUUCAUCCAUUAUUUUACCAUCCAGAUUUCUUACUAUUACUCAAUGCAAACCUUCUCUAAAACUGAGGUAAUAAAAAGGUUCACUUACUCUUUCAGGUGGCUCGGCCCAUUCUCCUUCAAGCAUUCAAAUAUAGGCGAUCCCCAAUAGUUGGUGGCACAAAUUUCAUACAAGCGUGACUUGGGUGAUCCAGUACUCAUACCACCUACAUUUUUUAUUCAAGUGAGACAACAGAUGAAAACUGUUUAUUGUGGAAGCUGAAGAUUUCGCAUUAGUACCUGCUUCCCGUGAAUCAGGAUUGCAUAUUAGACUUUUAGUGGCCCCUGUAGGCCGCCAUCGCGAAGCAUUGUAUGGAGCCACAAUCUGCCUUGUGUGCUUGUGGCUUGAGUUAUAGUCGUUUCCAGGAUCUUCAUUCAGGGGAUACACCUUCAAGCCAUUUUCAGUUUCAGAAGCUUCUUCUUGCACCCUGAAGUCGUCAAAUUUAGCAUUAACAACCGAAGGCUUCUCAUCAAAUCCAAUCAAUUGGGCUUCCAUCUUUUCAGUUUCUUUUAGCACUUCGUCUAAUGACUUCGACUUGGCAGUGUAACCACCAGCCUGCAUAUUUGAUAAUCACUAAGCACUAUUAUGACCUUGUAGAAAGGCUCAAAAGCUCAAAACUAGCCAAAAUCCUGAUUGAUAAAAGAUUUAUGAACUUCAAAAAGGAAGGAAGAACCACCACAACUAACAUAUACAAGUAAACCUUGGCUCCUUUAGAGCAAGCUAGUCCUGAAUGGAUGCUAAAAAGAUCCAUCAACCACGAAGUGUAACCUAAAUUUAAAUCAAGAAGUCAUAUCCUCUACUGCAAACUAGUCUGGAAUCACUGAUUGAGCUCGCCAAGUGCGAAUCAGACAAGAAAUUAGGCCAUUUAAAACAUUGAAGCAAGAAAGAUGUUUGUACUGAGCCCUCCAACCACUAGACAGACACACCACGCUGAAGAGCAGAACAAGAAACAAGCUCUUCAAAGCCAGACUUCAAGCACCUACAAGGAACUCCACAACAGCCACAUUUUACUCAUAGGAUUUAAAUUACAUAAACCACUUUCAGUUCACCUGACAUCCAGGAAUUCCAUUGUGAUAUUUUUAAACCUAGAGUAUCAUAUUCAGAAAAAAUCAAGUAUUUUUGGAUCACAAUUCAAUCUGCAUUGAUAAUCUUAUAGUUCAAUCCAGUAUAUAAAUAAAACUGUAAAGACAUUUCUCAAAUAUGCCAGUACUUAAGAUGGACACAUCAAAGACUUUGAUGACUAACUUUGCUAACAUUGGUGGCUCCAAUGCUUUUAACCUUUAUUAAAUUAGACUCAUAAUAGAGUUAAUAGAAGCUUCUCUAAGGACUGGCAAGAGCAUAUCUAUGAUGCUACUACAAUCUAGGCUGAAAUAUCUAGUUCACACCUACAUAUAGUUGUACCAAGCCUAACAACUAAAAAGUAUAUACUUAUUAUCAUGCCCUAUUUGCUCUAAUGUUUAGUUUUCCUGACAAAUUUCACAAUGGUGAGGCAUAGUAAAAUAGGUAUGAAAGUUGCCAUGGGAAUUAAACCCCAAAAGAAAAGAGAGAGAGAGAGAGAGAGAGAGAGAGAACCAAAACCACACGAUAGUGACCUUUUAGUAGCAUAAAAACCAAAGUUCACUAGAUAAAGUACCUUUAAACGUGAAUAUAGUUGUUUUGCAGCCAUUCUUUUGGCAGCCUUUUUGCUGAUGUUAGUUGCAGAAUCAUUCAUAAUCAAAUCUCCUGAAGUCACUUUUGAUUGAACAGUAUAUAUUCCACUCUUCCUUGACGCUGAAAACUGCAAAUCCAUGCCAUGACACUGGCAAAGUUCCUGAAGAUCCCUAAUAGGAUUAAUCCACAACUUGGAAGAGCUCAUAGUAGGGUUUAACAAGGAAAGCAUUAUCUUCCAGACACAAUUUAAGUCGAACCCUGUGUCAAGAAGAAUGGCACCCAUGCAAGACUCAACCAAGUCACCCAGGGCCUGAAAGAAUACGGUGAUCCAGAGUGAGGUCAAGUGUGGAGACUUCAAAUAUAGAGAGGCAAUUUAAUACUUUAAGCUAUUUCCCACCACAAAAUCAUUUCUUCACAUACUACUUGGCAACCACAAAGUACUCACAGCCUCAAAAUGCUGAGAAAAUCACAUAAAUAAUUUUCAUCCAUCACUGCUUGGAUGAAGCAAGUGUUUGUUUUCAUAUUCAUUCCGAAUUUGCUUUCCGGCAAUAAGGAAAACUGAAAGAACAAUAAUCUCAAGGGGUUGUUCAGGACGGUAAUAAGCAAGGAAAAUUGCUUCAAUAGCAUGAGGUUGAAGGUUCUGUUCCCACAAGGAGCAACUCCUUGGGGCCCAUCACAAAGCUUAAGUUGGGCAACCAGGGUUGUGGGUCUUCUGGUGUGGUCUAAGCACCUGGAAGUAGCUGACCGAUUUGCGGGUGUGCCCUUCCAUUAUACAAAGACAAGAAAUAAAAAGAAGAGGAAGAAAGAACACUAAUAUAUUAGAAGUCAGCCAUAUAUCCUUUCAACUUCCAAGCAUCAAGGUUUUGAUCCUUAUUCCAAUCAUAUUUAAGGUUUUGAGUAGUCAAAAUUUUCCAUGCAGGAAACUACUAGACUUAAAACUGCACUGAAUGUGCAAAAAGAAAAGAAUUCCGAUAUUGGUCAUAAGUCCUAAUUGCAAUUCAAAGUAUGUCAAUACAAUUUUCAAUCUACUUAAUUUGAUUGCUCCUCUACUAAAGAAAAGCAUGGGCCAGAGUAGUGCACAGAAAGGCUGGUUUUCCAGAAUAGUGAGGAAUAGCAAAGAGAGUCGAGAAAUUUCAGCGGUUAAAAUGUGGAUAAAAAAGACACAUUUGAAAUUUUCAAUGAUUGCACACAACUAUAAGAAAUUUAAUAUUCACACUAUCUUAGAAGAAAAGGUAUCACAAAGAAAUAAGCUAUGCAAAUUCAGAACAUUCAUUAAAGCUUAAAGUUAAUAUGCAACAGUUAAGUACUUCAGUUUACCACAGUAUAAUAAGCCUAAAAAGGACAGUUGAAAGUCCCUAUGACUGCACUUUAAGAUCACAGGGUCUUCAGUAUUUAUAUAUAUUUUUUUAAAAACAGAUGUUAAAAGAAAAAGGAGCUCCCCUUAUGCUUCAUGGAUGUGGUACAUAUUUCUUUACAAAUUAAUUAUUAAAGUAUCAAUUUGACUAUCUGACUAUAGAACAUGAGCAGUGGUCCCUAAUCAGAUCCUAAUCUUUUGUUUUUCUUGAUCAGUACAUAGUCUCCUGAUUCCUUUUUGACUUCUUUGUUUAUCUUUUUUCCAUCUGAUUUAAAACAUUUAUUCUAAAAUCUAAAUAGUCAUGGUUGCUAUAGCCACUCUCCAUUAAAAUGUCAAUAAAUUUCCAACAAAUACUAGAAGAAAAUUUUAAAUGAUUUAUACAGAGGCCAUGUGCGGCGAAUUGACUUUACAAUGCAUGAAAUAAUGACGUUUAGCAUCACCUUUGGACAAGUUGGCUCGUCAAUCUGUCCUCUUUCUGUUGUUUGUGUGAAGCUGACAUAUUGCUCCAUAGACUUGGAGAGUGCACUAGAAUCACAAAUGAUAAAUUCAUGGAAGGAGCAAUGAAUAGCAAUGUCAGCAAAUGAAGUAUUAUUCACAGAUGCAGAUCUCAAAUCUGUCAGUUGACCAGGCUUCAAUUUGGGAUACACUGAGUAUAAAUAGGAUGUAAUCAGAUAAUCCAACAUGGCAUCUCCAAGAAACUCAAGUCUCUGGGUCAAACAACUUAUUAGUAUCAAAACAUGUCAGACAGUAGUUAACAGAUAUGACUAAACAACACGUAACCAAAGUUGAUAAAAUUGCAAUACUUACUUGGUAGCAACCUCCCAAGUGGUUGUUGUAGGAAGGGUGGACAAAUGCCUGAAUGAGCAAACCUUUAUGCCUAAACUUAUACCCUAGUAGAUUCUCAAGGGCAGUUAUAUUUAUCUGAUUGGCUAAAGGGAGAAAGUUUUUGCUUUCAUUGAAGAUUUUAAGAAGUUGUGACUCUUCAAAAUCAAUUUGUAUGCCAAUCCACUUGAGGAAAGCAGUUGCUCCUCCAAAGCCAGAAUCAACUAAAAAUGCACCAAUAAGAGCCUCAACCACAUCAGCAAUGGUUUUCUUGUACAACCAAUGAUGACAUUUGCUGCAUCGAACCUCAGUAUUUACAUCAUUCACCGAACUUGCAUGAGAGUGUAUUGCAUUUUCUGUUUGCUUGCUGCAAAUUACAGGACAAGGACGACCCACAGCGAAGAAUUGGUUGGGUUCAAAUGAUUGAUCACGUAUAUAUACCUGAAAUAUGCACAGACAUCAAAAGCAAUUAUGAAGAAUAAUCCAAAUGAAGAACUUGUUAUUUUGAGAAAGCAAUAAUUUGUUAAAGUAAGCUCCUCCUAUCUCAAAUCAAUAAAUAGGUAUAAAAGAAGGUUAAAUUAUCUGUUUCGCUAAAGCAAUGCCCAAUGCUAAGUAUUUCAGCUUCAAACUUAUAAAAAUCUAGACAAGGCAAUAGUUACUAGUAAAUUUUAUAUUUCUUCAAGUUUUCUGCCUUGAAAAUGGUAAAAUACAGAUCAGAAGAAUGUGAAAAACAAAUAAAUAAAUAAAGCAAGAUAGGAUUGUUCAAUUUGUAAAAGCAGUAGGUUACAGAAUAGUUACAAUCUUAUGCUUCAUAAAUACAUGAUCAGACUUGCAUAUAUAAUGAUGCACGCUUAAUUCUAAAAACCAAAAUAGCCCAUGACUGGUGUUUGCUCCGUUCUUAACUGUAAGUCAGUCACAUUCAAAUUUUAGGUGAGAAUGAAAACAAGAACCUCUUCAUAAACUUCAAUUUCACACUUCCAAGCGAGCAACUAUAGGACACAUUCUGAUUGACCAACACAGACAUCUUUUUCUCCUUCCCGUAAUGUUAUUAGUUGACACACACGAUUUCACGACUUUAUAUGCUGUAUGCACCUAUCUCAUGUUCCGACAUAAUCAGCCAAGGUUGGUUAGUGGUACACAAGUUUCACUCACAACAAUUCCCCUAAGCAGCUGUUCCCAUGUAAUGCUUAGGUGAUUAUGUGGUAUUCGAGCUUGGCUACCACUCACAUACUCCAUGGAAGGCAGAGAUUUUUGCACUAUACCAGAGGAAAUGCCACAAGUACUUUCCACCAUAUCAAUUAACGAACAAAGCAGGACAUAGAUGCACAAAGUAACCAGUCAGACUCAAGAUUCAGUAGAAAUUAAUAGAGUGCAUCAUUUUCCCUCUUCUUUGGUAUAUGACUGGAUAACUCGUUCCCCUCUGUUCCUCUUUUGACCCCUAAGUGACUACCAGUAGAAUGAAGGCAAAAAGACCUAAACAUGGUCCAAUCUUAACAUUCACUGCCCACUAUCAGAUUGAAGCCACGACUUAUAAGAUCAUCAAAUGACCUAACACCAUUAUACUUUAAUAAAGAGUGCAUGUUUGGAAAACACAGCCAUAAUUUGUGCACAUAACUGUCAGCUUCCGAUUCCAGUAUCAACUACACAGAGAAGCCUUCUUUCUUUUCAUUCUAUUUUUUUAUUUCCUUUUGGAUAAUUUCCUUCAACAAAUACAAUCUUAUAUCUUAAAGUCUAUUCAAUAUAAUCAAUCACCUGCAAAUUCUUUCUCAUAGCCAGGUUGAGUAAAUUGGAAUUGUUGACAAUGUUAGACCGCUUUUUUGUCAGCUGUCCUUCAUCUAGGGAGUUGUGCAAAAGAAAUAGACGUCUACCAACUGCAAACUUGAGGAAUGCAUCACCAAGCACCUCCAGCCUUUCAAGAGAAAAGUGCUCACUGCACUUCUCUGUUGUAAGAGCUUCAAGAACCUGCAGUUCCAAAGUACCCAUCACCAAAGCACAUUCUUUUAUCAUGUUCAUGCUGUAUCUAGCUUAUUAUAAAUUAGCCAUCGUGGAGAAGGUGACAUGAGUGCUAGAUGUGAUGAACACAACCCUUCACUAACAGUAAGAGAGACAACAGCCAUACACGCUGAACAGUAACUUCUGCUCCUUGGGGAAAUGAAGCAGAUAAUUUGUUCUUCAGCUCAAUUGCCACAAGCAAGCUUUCCAGACGGUGCAUAAUUGAAGGUAACAAUGACAAUGAACUCCCAAUAUCUUUUGAAAACCCAACUAUCUUCAACUGGCAAAUCUCAGGAGGUAACUCAAUGAAGUGCUCCUCUUUCUCACGUACUUCUGCUCAUAAAACAUUGAUAAACAACAAUCCAGAAUCUCAGAAUAGGUCACUUUUAACAUUCCAUUUUCUCAUCAAUCUUUCUUCUUUCUUUUCUUCUUGUCAGGGGUCCUGUUCUUUUUUUUUUGGGGGGGGGGGGGGGGGGGAAGGGCAAGCUGGGAAGUGGUGCAGGGAGUUCAAGAAGGCUAGCUAUCCUAUAUAUAUAGCAGUUGAACAGUUAUAAGAUAGUUGUAGAAAUGUACAAAGAAAAUAAGUAGGAGAAAUAAAUGAGACACUCAUAAUGUCUUUCAAUUAUAUCAAAUCUUUAUACGGAGAAGAUAAGGACAAAAAAGGCCAAGCAACAUUCUUAUAUUAAGGACAAUAACCUACCUAAAAAGAACAUAUUAUGACCCCUCUUUACAUCUAUAGGUUAGCUGCAAUAACACUGCAUUCCGAAGAUCAACAGAAAUUUGUAAUUGAAUCAAUUAAAUCUCCCAUUGCUUUAAUUGCAGAAUGUUGCGAAAUUUGUAACAGGAACGACGUCUAAGGAGUUCAUAUGCUUGCUCACCAAGUUCUAUGUUAAGCUAAUUCUAGUUGAUGGCUAGAUUGGACAAUCAAAAGUGGUUCAUUUACUUGCGUAAAAAGCAUAAAACCAUAUCAGGCAGAAAGUUUUUAACGGCCAUAAUAUAUCAGCUUUGCACCUUGGAUUGCUGAGUUCUGAUUAGACAUCUUUGUGUUUACCAUAUAUGAACAUUUCCUUUAAGUACAGUUUUAGUCUAGAUAGACACGUGUAAGGAAUGGGAUCAAAAUUUCUAUGGAAUGACGUGGAAAUGAGAAUGAAGGGGAAACAGAAAGUGUUUAGAAAUUAAAAACUUUAAACUAAUACAAAGAAGGGUCUCACAAAGUAUCAGUAUGUAAACACAAGAAAGCAAGCAAAUAAAAGCAAGCAAAUGUGCAACAGAACAAAGAUCAACAGGAAAGAGCAAAACAGAGACUUCUUAGCCUGAUCAAAUCCCCGUUCUGAAAGACAGACUGUUUACAUAAGUUUUGCAAGCUGACAACAGAAUGACACAAGAAGAAGAAUUAGAUUAUUAGUUCAAUCUCAAAAGUCAUUAUCAAGACGACGUAAACUACGACAACUCCUAACACCAGUAAAGCCCAAUCAAGGAUGUCAAUUACAUACAGUAAAAAGUCAGCUGCAAAGAAGUACAUGAUCUAGUCAUCAUUUAGCAAUAGUGUGAUGAUUUACCUUGUAAAGACAGAAAACAGUAUGUAAUGAAGUCCAGAAGUAGUAGUUCAAUUUUUUAUUUCUCUCGGGGUUCAUUCACCAAUCAUUUUUUAAUUACAACACUAUUGUUCAUAAUGAAGCCAUCUUAGAUUUUGUCAUGACAGCAGACGAGGUCAGCCAUGUUUAUCGAGCAGCAAGAACUGCACCCCUAUGCUUACAGGUCUUUAGAAAAUUUUCCACAAUUUUAGCACAUGUAGUAGAUUAAAAACCAUAUCAACAGGCAGCUAAAGAUAAAAUCAUCAAAAUCUAAUCUAAUCUAUAGCCUAAAAUGUAAAAGAGCCCUGAUUGGUGCAUUCCUUACAUACCUAUUUAUUCUGGUUCAUUAUCUGCAGCAUCUUACCAAAAGGAACCAACAAAUUGAAGUGGAGACGUCUUGAUGAAGGCUAUGAUGUUGGAGAUUUAAAAUUUACAAAUGGAAACAGGAAGAGAGAAGCACACUCUAGAAACAUUCACAUCGCGUUUGGAACAUUGUGCAUGAGUAUCCAAGAGGAUGGAAGGAGGUACAUGCUGUGAAUAUUUCUAGUACUGCAAGGAAGGCAAAUCAAAAAUGGAGGAAGGAGAGAGAUAUGGCAGCUAAAUUUCCACCAGCAAAGGUUUGGCUUAGGUGACACUAACUUUGAGAUUGUGCAAGGACUUCACCAGAAUGUGGUGGUUUGCUUAUACGUGUCCAGCCGAAAAAUAACUCUGUGCAGCUACGAUCUUGCCAAGGAUCAUUUUGCCACCUCAGAUCAAGCAUUCCCUGAGAUUCAUAGUUGCCAUACUAAUGGCUCUAUAGUUUGUAGACAGCAGAUGAGGCAUCCAUGUCCUUUAUAUUUUCUGAAGUUUGUUCCAACAGAUAUAAACAUCCCUACCCACUCACAUCAAUGCUACAGGCAUCUUAUCCCACACGCAUAGACUCCUGACACGGAGACAAACCAUGUGAAAGACUUCCCAUUAUUAAAGCAUAAGAAGGCUAGAAUUCAUGACUUCCACCAUCGUCAAGGUGAGACUAGUGCUGAGAAAUAGAACAGCUCACUCCGAACUCGUAAGGUUGUGAAACAUAAAUGGGUAUGACUUAACUGCUACCAACUUGCAAGUGAUUGGUGAGUGGUAAAACGACUGUAGGUCAGCAGCAUGUCAAAAUUGCUCAUCAAUAAUAACUCAUUUCUGGUUCAAAUAGGACCAUUCAAGAAAAGAUGUUAGUGGUUAUGACAUAGAAAUGCUCAGGAAAAGUCUACAUAAAUCUCAAGGCCAGCCUUCCGAUACAAAACUGCAAAACUACUACAAGCUGAAACAAGAGAUAGUCACAAUUCACUGAUAACAGAGAAGAUUUAAUUACUGGAGUCACACCACUGAACUUGAUUCGCAUGAAUAAUUCAAUUAGGAAACUGAAAUGAUAACUACCUGAAUACCCUUUCUUCCGCAGUAAGUUGUCCAAGCAGAAUACUUGUUUUGCUUUCAAAAGUGGUUGAUGAGGAUAACAAAGCUGAAUGCUAAACCUAUCACAAUAAUCAAUAACUGAAAUGAGAAAAUAGUUGGGAAAUAAAUUACAGGACAUUGUAAAGGCCAGAGAAUAUGAACAGAUGAUGGCAUGAAGAAACCAUUUCGAGCAUAAAGAUUUUAAGUGGGUACCAGUCAAAUUCUUACAUGCUAUUCUUAGUAAAAGACAGACAGUCGCAUACUCAUGAAGCAUAUAGUAAAAGACAGUGCAAACUUUUACACAAACUUUUAAGCAAAAGUCAACAACUUGUCAUGAUGCCAAUAAAUUUCAGAUUGAGAUCCUUGGUAUAUUCACCCUCUGUGAUAGGUGAUUAGCCAUGCACAUGUUCAUUAACAAUCAAACUAACCUCCCUGGUAUUUUAGUUGUACUAACAUUCCUCUCCUUAACAUUCACAAGAAAAAUACUGAAUUACAGAUCAACUUUGUUUUACAUACAGCAAUAUAUAUGCAGCCCUAUGUAACAUUAUAAGAAUUUUACAGGAAGUUCCCAUAUUCUCAAAAGAAUAAAAGAUGCUGCUUACUUUUCCAUGUAGAGGUCUAGAUGAUUCUUGGAAUCCUUGAUUGAGCUAUAUCCAUUCUUGUAAUAAACAAUGUCAGAAACAAAAAAGAAUGUGUCCUUGCACGGUACAUAUACCAAACUGUUUACAACUUCCUCUGCACUCUUGAUUCCUUUUGCAAGAUGCAACUGUCUUUUGUCCUGAGAACUUUCAUCAUGUCCAGCACAUUUUGGAGCACCAAAGAUUGAUGAGGAUAAACAUUUCUCAACAAGUUUCCAAUCCACAGAAACCUUGUUGUUAUUGUUAAGAAGUAUAGGAAGUAACAGGUAAGAUGUUGACGAGAUUGGAUCGCCAGUUUUAUUUUCCAGUGAUACAAAUUCAGAAGUAAACUCUGAUCGAUCGAGAAUCACCUUGAGGAACAUUCUUUGGAAUUUCUCUGCUUGCACCAGCUAAUAAUUGAAAUUUAAACAAGUGAAUAAGCCUCUAAAUUUCGACUUCUAGAUGGAAAAACAAGAACAACAAGAUAAUAAAUUUUACCUCAUCUUUAGUGAAUUUUACUACUCCAUAUGGAACAAGCUCAGUCAAGACAGAUCUACCACGAUCCAAAUGAAGAUCAAGUUUCAUUUUCUCAGCCUCUUUUGGCAGAGGUGAUUUGACAAAAAGAGCAAACUCCCUGUAAAGUCUAUCUAUGGGAUUAGGACAAAACUUAAAAUGGUAAGUGCAAAGGGAAACAGAAUUUUUCAGCUCAGUCCAGGUUUCUUUAAGGGCUGCAGGAAUCAGCAUCUCAUGCAGUUCUCUCCGCAAAUCAUCAUCUGCAAGAAAAUUCCAAUUACUAGGAUUUUUAAACUGUGUUGUAAACAAAACAUCACAUGACAAAAUAACUUCAAUAUGCCAAUGUCCCCUAACCAUCACAGUUCUCUGUAUCAGAGAAAUUAUCGUCUGUUUCCUCACUGCCACUAUCUUGUUCUGGCAGGAGAUAGUCAGUUAGAGCUCCGACUUCGUGCAGAGUCUUGCAUGCUUUCAAACAUGCAUCUUUUUUAGCUGCUUCGAAUGAAACUUGUGAAGCACUCACAAUCUCGUGGAUUGGAGCAUUUGAUGGUAGAAUUAUAAGGCAAACCAUUCCAUCUGCCUCAUCCAAAUAGAAGAACUGUGGUCUUGGGUUGAAAUAUCUGCAAUUGAGCAGAUAGAGUCAAUUGAUAAAUUCAGUGCAGAAUUUCAUAUUUACUCUCACGAUCGAAGAGAAAGUGUUGCUGCAUUACAAGCAAAGCAUUCAGAGCAUACUCAUCAUGUGGAAGCUUUGAACAGUAGUGAUGAAGCAACGAUAUACUAGAUGCUGAACUGAUAGUGGCACCGGUCAAAUCCACCUGAUAUGUUUUUUCUUCAAAAUCAGUCAUUGUUACUUGAGAUUUCCUUGACGAAAUGUCUUGAUGCAUCUUGAGUUCAUCUUUUACAAAAUGUUUUAUCAAGUUUAUCUCCUUUUCAUUGCCACUGCAAUAACAAAAUUAUUGUGAUGAACGUUCUAUAGAAAAUAACUUUGCUAAUGGCGCAUAUUUCAAAAGAGCACCUGUUGACCAAAAAGGCAUAUUCGGACUCCGGCAUUCUUGCACGACCUCGAGAUUGUAUGAAACUGGCCACAGUUUCUGGAAGAUCGAACCUUAUUACAAGGCAGCAAGUCUGUAUAUCAAGUCCUUCCUCACCCACCUUAGUUGCAAUUAAUAAAUUAAGCUGCCAAAUAGAAAAUAUGUACAUUUAUCCACACAUCAAAUCACCUACUUUACUUGAUGUAAAAGUGAUCGACUUUAGUUUUGAAAUUACAAAGUAACCGCCAAUGCACAAAUCAAACUAUAAACAGAAGGAAACUCUAGCACGCUCCUAAAACACUUUCUGUGACAAUAAAAUUAGAGUAUAUUACCUCACCAGAUCGAAACUUCUCAAGAAUAGCAUUUGUAGUCUUUCGAGACAUACUUUUCAGUCCAGAGUGGACUCCUAUAAGGAAAUGACACUUCCAAGAAGACAAGAAUUUAAGGUUCUUAAGUAUAUAUGACAAGGACCGGGCAGUCACAAUCCUGUUGACAAACACUAUGCAUUUCAUGUUUGGCUGUAACCUGAAAAGCCACAAUGAGAGUUCUAAGGCUGACAAACAUCACAGAUCAAAUCAGUAAAGAUGAAAUAGGUAAGUAAAUUUGCAUUUAUUCUUUUACUUACAACAGACAAUUAGAUGAAUAACAAAAAAUGACUAUAAAAAAAUAGAUGUAUGUUUUUACUAUGUCCUUUUCUUUUCCUUAUUUCUUCUCCUUUUCUAUUUUUGAAAGAGAAGUGCUUUUUGCUGUCCAGAAAGGAUACACUAAACCAGAUACUGAAUAAUGUUGACCAAUAAUGUUGCAAUUCAAAGUAUCAAUAUACAGGGCUAAUGUACUGUUUGUGGAUGAUAUUAUGCCAUCUUAAUCACUAUGCAUCACAAGCUGACCCUAAUGUUUGACUCCAUUAUUUCUCAUUCAAUAGAAAUUUGUAAACUUUGCAACAAUUGAUUUCUCAAUAUGACACAGUAAGACUGCUUACCAACCUGAAGGUGCGAAGAAUUCCAAUAAGUCGUAAGAGCUUUCUUGAAAAAAAGGGCUCCUUCAGGAACUCCACCAGGGAUAAAUCAGGUGCGACAUCAUCUGCAUGAAGGAAGCAGACCCCAUCAAUAUUAUCGAACAGAUUCAGCUUAUCCAAACAAAAUGAUAUCAUAAUUAUAUCUCAAAGCAUUAAAAGUGAAAAGGCAAAAGUUUCUUUUGUAUUCAACAACAUUAUCCAGUGACAUAGUUGUUAAGCAUAGAAAAACAAUGUAAAUCAACUAGCCAUGAAUGUUAUAGUGAUAAGCGAGAAUGACAUAGAUGUCACUGAGCAAACUGUUGAAGUACCUUUCCUACAGGCAGAAGCAAGAACAGAGUAAGCUUCAGUUAAGUAUCUGUCACAUAAGGAGUUAUCGGCAGAACUCUCUUCUGCAUCUGUCCCUUCAUUUUGCUCAUAGUGAUCACCCUUCGAAAGGAUACAACUUGCCUUUGAAAAGUAGCACAAGAUAGAGUUAAUGCCUUCAUGUCAAAAUUUUCAAUAGCUUCAGCAUGUGAUUUGAAACAAAUAGAAGCAAUCACAAAAAGAUAUGCAUAAACAUUAUAGGGAACUACAUAAAGAAUGAUACAAUACAUGAAGAAAAUAACAUCAUUUGAAACAUCAUGAUAGUGUACCUGUAAAGAUCCCCAAAGACCAAGGUUUUCCAAACUAAACAUGAUAUUACCAUGCAGCCUCUGUAGCAUCUUUUUGGUAAUCCUAAGAGUAUUAUGAUCACCAGUUUUCCGGGUUAGAUCAGACACACACUGCCAAACCACCAAUAUUUUGUAAUCAUAAGUUUUUUUCAAGAAAAAAAAGAGGGAGACAGAAGAAGAAGACAACAAUUACAAACUUAAAAUGUUAAAGUGGAAUACCUGGUGCUUUAUCAUCUCAAGUUGCUCAUGGUAGCUUAUACGAGCACAAGAAGAGCUAAUUAUAGUAGGAUCAUAAUAAUAUAUCCUAAGCUUAGGUGAAGCAACAAAUUGCUCAAGUUCAUCAACAUCUUCAACAGAAUAAACCUAUGAAUCAAAAAGGAAGACAAUGAAAAGCUGAAGAAUAUGCAGAAUGUUGAGUACAAAAGGGUAUAUAAACACAGCUGUAUGGCUAAUGCUAGAGACAUAAAACCAUAUUUGCAAAAAUAUGCAGCUAAUCAUACAACUUACUUUAGCACGUAGUAAGGUUUCAAGACCAUCAACAGAAGCACCUAAAUGUUAUGAGAUCCAAAAGAUCAGCAUAAGAAACUUCAGUUAGUUGAACCAAAAAAGUGCAAAUGCAUAUUCUAAUUCAAGACUCUUAGAUCUUUAAUAAUUGGAGCUUUCAAAUCAACAUCAAAUCUUCUUCUAAAUCUUUCACUAGAUGAUGCUGUUGGAUCAGUAAUUUGCAUUUCCAGUUUUAAAAAAUAGAAAUUAGUGACCUAAGAAGACCAUAAAUUUCUAACAAUUCUUCCUUCUGAUCCCGGUGCACUCACCAAUAUCAUACCAAGGCCAACUAGAAGAAUAAGUCCAAGUUGCAAUGAGUAUCCAUACAAACACUAGACAGAGUUCAAAAUCAUUCCAACUUUGACAUUAUACUAUCAUUUUACACUAAGGUACUAUCAUUUUACACUAAGGUUAGUACAAAAAGGAGCAAUUUCUUUAGUCAAACAAGUACAGAAAGCUUUCAAAUACCUCACUAUGAUCACAUGCAUGACAGAUUCCUUUGUGCAUAGUUUACCAAUUACACAGCCAAUCAAAUUUUCUUUGCAAUAUGAUCAAGAAAAUGUAAAACUUUAAUAUGUACAACAUGUUCCAUAGUUAUUUCUACUAAACCAAUUCGUACUUGAGGUAGUUGCUGAAUAUCCUAAGGUAGAGAAGGUAAUUCACAAAAAGACAUUGUAUUCUUGUAAAGAAGUAGGCAUACCACUUCAAAGUUCAAACAUCAGCAGACAUAUGGUGGAAGCAUCAAAAUAUAAGUUUUGCAGGAUACAUCUCACAAUUAUAACUAAUACAUAUUUCAUGGAAAAACAUGAAAGACAGAACGAAUUAGUAGGAAAUAUUCAGCAAACAAAAAUUUAUGGGAAGCAUAAUAUUAAAAGGAGAAAAAAUAAGUAAGAGUACAUUAUUUCCUCAAAUUUAAACAGUCACAGGAUCCUGAAAUGUCAAGAUUCCAAUUCUUGGAUUUUAAACUAAGAGUCUAAAUUCUCUUGAAGUUUGCAAAGCAAAUGCAUGGAAAAUAAUUGUAGAAAUUCAGAUAAAGUUGUACAGACAAAUAUGUAACCAUGAAAAUUUCAGAUGAAAACUUCUUUAGGAUGUUAUUGAAAUCACGCAGAUGAAGGAAUUUGCGAAUCUACUGCAAUUUCAAUUUCACAAAAAAUUGAAUAAAAGAACAUGUAGACAUGCAGAUCAUGAGAAUUUCAUGUCUGAAUUCAUAUUGUUAAUUUACUCCUUAAAGAACACGAUAACAGUUGAGCAUUUCUUUUACUAGAAUAUGAUUUGCAUUCAUAUGAGCUAACACAACGAAAUUGAGUAAUUAUUAUUAACACUUUCAGAUUUACAAACUUCAUAGUACUAGAUGCAACAGGUAUGAAUUAGAUAUGAAAGGUGUCCCCAAAUAAGGUCUGAUAAGUUUUGCUGAUAAACAAAGUUAUUUGGUACAAAAGGCUGGAGCUAUAUCUCAGUGCAGAACCAGUGUAAAGUAACAGAAGCUGAAACUAUGCGCUAAUUCAUCUUUUCCUAACUGUCACUCCAACAAACCUCGUCGAAUUAGCAGAUCAAAUAUCAACAGCUCCAUCUUUACUUCCACGUCACAUGACAAAGAAAUAUUACUUACGUUCAGAUAGACAAACUAUAAAACUAUACAUGACAACCAAAUGAUUAUUAGAAAUACAAUUGCCACUAAGGAUAUACCCAAAAUUCAAUGCAUGGAUGCGCUUUCAUGACAUCUUUAGGAACCUAAGCAUGCUUGAAAAGGCCAAUAACGUGAUUAUUUACCUUUCCCUAGUAUUGGAGAUGCGGUCAUGCCAAAUAUACGGGGAAGUUCUGCUACAUUUGAUUUAUAGAAGAUCUGAAACAUUAUGAUAGACCAUACACAAGUAAUAAGGCAAAAAUACAGGGAGAGAAGGCUGCUGAUAAUAAUAACCAAUUUGAAAAAGUAGAGAGUAAGUUCCAUUUGGAUUGCAUUUUUGAAGAAUUGUUAGAAAACUAAUUGUAGCACUUUUUGGAAUGUGAUGUAUGUGACAAGCAAAUGUAGUUGGAAAAUGCGUUAGGGGAAUAUUUCCAAAAAAAUUAAAAAAUUAAAAAUCCAAACAACCUAUAAGCAUAUUUAGAGUACAUUACCUUCAUAAUUUCAGCAUAAGGAUGAUUGCUUUCAAUUUGGGCAUAAUGACAUUCAUCAAAUAUUAGAAGUGCUAUCAGCUCAAUUUUGAUGAAGCAGUGGGACAAAUUAUGUAACAAAAUCUGAGGGGUCAUAACAAGGAUCUGCAUUAUAGCAGUACAAAAUGAGGACGAUGUGGACAAAUUUUAGUCAUUUAGCAGGAAGAACAGGCGAAGGAUCCAAGAUAAGAUAAAUCAACCACCCUUGCCAUGCUUGCAGCAGCAUGGGCUGGUGGUACCCCCCCCCCCACAACAACCAAAAAAAAUAAAAAAGAAACCAAAAAAAAAAAAAAAAAAAGGCAACCACUUUUAAAGUGGUAUAUAACAAGCAAUGAAGACAAAAAGAGUCACAAGAAGGAAAAUCAAGAUUUUCCUUAUCCAAUGACUGAAACAUAGAGCUCACCAAGAAGUUCUAGCAGCCACAAGAGUUAAAAUCAUGUAAGACACCUGCUGCAAUAUUCAGAAAUGUACCUCAUGACAUAAUCAACUAACCUCAUGCUCUUCCAGUUCUCUUUCCCAUUCCUGAUGACUCCUUAAACGCUUAGAAUUUCCACAGUAGAUUCCAACUUUAAAGUCUAUGGAGUCUUCAAUGACCUUAGCUUGCUUCAAAUUACAAAAAUCACGAAGAAAAAAAAUUGGUAAGAAACUACAUAUAAAAUAGUGAACAAUCCUCAAUCAAAGAAAAGUGGUAAAAAUUAACGCCAAAUAUUGAAUAAAUUUCUUAGAACAAACUGAUCAUGCUUACAAUAAACUAUUAAAAGUGAAGAGUGGUAGAUUGCACAUCAGGAAAUGACAAGAAAUUUCAAAACCAGCACAGACUUAACCCAAUUGAGUGCAUUAAAAGUAUUGAUCAUUUACCAUUCUUAGCUUGUGCUCCAUCAAGCAGCCUUGUUUUAAGAAGUUUGGGUUUUCAGAAAGAAGGUGUGUACAAGUAAGUAAUAUCAAUUAGAUAAAGCAAUAACCUGACCAAAAUGCUCUUAAAACUGCAAGAUAUCUUACAUAAUAGGCAUCACCACUAGUUUCAAAUGAGUCUGAUUGUUUUAAUAAUAGUCAGUUCCAUGUAGCCGAUAUUAGGACUACUAAUUGUAUAAUCUGCUAGAAGUAUUUAGGCCAAACUAAAUACAAACAACAGAAGUCAACAUUCAAUCACAUUACAAUGGAUUUCCCAAAAGUUUUGCAAAGCUGCCAACCAGUACCAAGAACAAACAGCGUCAUAAUGAAAUAAAACUAUCAUGUGAAAGGCAAUGAGAAUAGAAAAUAACCUGUUGAACCAACGCCACUGUAGGUGCAAGGAAUAUGCAAAUUCUUUUCUGUGGCUUUUUUAUUAAGUGACCCAUCUCAUAGAUUAGCAAUGUAGCAAUAUGGGUUUUCCCACAACCUGUUCCAAGAUAUACAAUAACAUUUUCCUCCAAGGCUUUCUGACAAAGAUCCAACUGAUACCUGUGAAAGCAAAUAAAUAAACAACCGUCUUAAAUUUUUUUGUUCGUAAAUUCAAUAGGACCUGAUAUUCUUAAGGUGUCAUUUUGGUUCUUGCAGGAUAUAGACGUACUCUUACCCUCCCCCCAUAGACUAGUGAUUAUGCCAAGACAUUUUCUCUGAUCUCAAAGAUCAUGAGAGGUCUUUUGCUUCCCAUGCCAGGCUUCAAUGACAAACAAAAUUGCUAACACUAUAUAGGGCUCCACAGAAAGGUGAAGUUCCAAAAAAACCUUGUGUAACAUUGUAAUGAUUGUUACCAACAUGCACUUAAGAAAAAAGAAAAUGUUAUAACCAGCCCUUCGCAGAGUGUGUAAGACAUUAUAAUUCUUAAGAGAAACAUGUGGAAAAAAGUGGAUCAUAGAUGUGCCAAAUCUCAGACUGCUGAAGAACCUUUUAGAAGAUGACAUGUCUAAUGAUGACGUGUCUAACCUCUUCAUAUCACCAGAACAUGAAGUUUUUGCAAAAAUAUGGAAAUCAGGACAAGAGUUUUGCCAGUACAAUGUGAAUGGAAAACAAAAUGUACAGAAUUAGGUAGCAGACAAGUACAAAAAUGCAAUUUUCUGGAGCCAAUUGUUUGCAAAUAGAUCAUAAGCAGAACACACGACAAUGCCAUAAGGUACACUCUAACCCAAAAUUGCAUACUCCGAAUUUACUGUUCAGGAUGCAUCUGGCUAAAACAAAAGAAUCAACCUUUUUCACAAAUACGAAAUCUCAAGUUCUGGAAAUCAGACAGGAUUGGCAGGGUGAGGCUAGCUCAGUUAGUUCCUCAGACUUAAUCUCUUCUAGCUCUAUGUUUAUUCAAGCCUUCGUGGUUUUCAAUUUGAUUCAUGCAGUAAAAGAGAUGCCCGCAGAUUAAGAUAUUUACACUUGCACUAGAAAAGCAUAGGCAGAGUAAAAACGGAGAUUUGAGCACAUAAGUCAAAUAACUCAGAUAGUAUGAAAACAAAAAAUGCACUGAAUCCUACAUAUCACUUUUCUGUUUCUAGCCGAAGUAGGAAAGCAAAGGAGUCGACAGGCAGAAUUCUUGUUCUGAGCCGCAAAACUAAGACCCUAUGCACUGGCCUGUGCAUCUUCCUUGGAAAUUUUCACUUCUUCUUUAGAUUGGUGACAAACAACAUAAGAUAUUCCCUCUUAAACUAUUGUCCACUUGUCAUCUUAUUUCAUGAGCACAGGCUCAAACACUAAUAGAAUGAGACUACGGAAAAGCAAAAUCGUAUUGACACCACAAACAGGAAUAAGAAGGAGAAGAAAACCCGAAUAAAUGUGGUCUCUCCAACUACCUCAAGUCCUAGCGACAUGCAAAGAGAAAAGACGACUUAAUGGUAUCAAAGGAAGCAAUAAGAAAUGUAAAUGCAGACACCUGAACCCAAUUCUCAACAGAAAAUCGUAAGAGUAACCUCUAUAUUUACCAUUUUUCUCGGUAGUCCCACAAAACAAUGAAGCAAACACAAAUAAUGGAUCAAAGAAGAUACUCGAGGGAAAGAGAACAAAGAAACACAAAACAAAAUAGAAUAAAACACAUCAUGCAAGAGAAAUUUCUUCAAGAAAAAGGAAACCCACGAAGCAAAAUGCAGUAACAUGCAACACAAAGCAGAGAAAAAGGCUGUACUUUCUGGCAAUCUUUCUGGGGUCUUUCUCUGGUUUGUCUUGAGGCUGAACGGAGAAGUCUCCUCCAUCAUCACCAAGAGACAGACUUGAAAAGCGCUCCGUGGUCACUGAAGUUGUCUCGGCAGUCCCAUUGGCUACAAAAGGGGCCGCAAAAUUUCUCACUGCAGCGGCGGAACCAUUCACAUUAGUGGACUGGCAGCCGUCCAUGGCGGCGAUCAGGGCGGUGUGGCAAGAAUUGCUGCACAGAGUAGAAUGAGUACAAAAAGGCCUUGACUUCUCUUGACUUUCCCACCACUCCCACCCCCAGCUCCCUUUUUAAAAGUCUUUCCUUCCCUUCUUCAUUUUUUUUCCUUCCAGAAAUGUCAGGUCUUUCCUUCCUUCUUAAGUAGUGUGUAUACUAAUAAGCAAGUGUUCUGCGUAUUCUUUUUUUUUUUUAUAUAUAUAUAAAUUUAUUAUUUCGCGCUCUGUAGCCAAGAGCUCGUGAGCCUGGAGAGAAAAUGGGGAAAGAAAAGAGUGAAAUUUAGAAGAGAAUCUCUCUGGUUGGUAAAGUAGAGGAGUGGAAGUGGAGCCCGGGUUAAAGAAUCUCUGCUGUGUCAAUGACUUGUCCACGUCGUCUACGGCUUUUGCUGUACAGACUUGGGGACUUUCCGUAUUUUCCGUAUUUAUUUGCGUAUAAAAUUGCAACCCGAAAAUUAUUGGCGGUUCCAAUUAUUUUUUAUUCCCCCUUGAUAAGAGAAAGUUUUUAAGGGAGUAACCUAGACAGGGUGUGAAAAUGCUAGUAAUUUUUGCAUUACUUUUAUAUUUAUUACUUACCAGAGAAAUAUUUGCAUAAUUAGUGAUCUGUCUUAUUCAAUAUGAUUUCGGUUGAUCCACUUUUGGAAAUAUUUUUGUUUCAUCAAUAAUGCUUGUACAUUUGAGACAUGUGGGAUUGGCCAGAUGCAGAUUAAUAGUUGGAAUAAAUCGCUUUGAAUUAUGUAUCGCUUUAUUUACGAACUUAAAAUUAUAAUGGUUGUAAUAGUUCACACGUCACAUUAAUUAAUGUAUCGCUUUGUUUAAAAACUUUAACUUAGAACUUGAUUAUAAUGCUCGUAAUAAAUUAUACGUUGUAUUAACUGACGUAACGUUCUAUUUAAAAACUUUAACAUUAAACGGCACGCAUAUAUUCUAAUACAGUUAUCUAAUUUAUGCAAUGGGUUAGUAUACUUAAAACAAGUUAAUAGACGAAAUUAAGAAUUAUGGCUCUUUGGGCGUGGAUGUUUUAAUCGUGAAUGAUUGGCUGCGAUGGAAAAAAUAACCUUGACUAAUAUUGUCUAGAUAACUUAUUAUUGUGUAUGUUGUUGAAAUUAAAACCAUAUAUGUAAUUGCAUGCACCCAUUCGUGGCAUUAAGAAUCCAUCGCAAUACUUGCCCAUCAAAUUCCCCCCCCCCCCCCCCCGCCGCGGGAAGUAAUUAAUGGAAUGUCAUUAAGAAUGAUUUUCAUUUGUUCAUCUGGAAGAUAGAUAUUGGUAGGAAUUAAAUUGGAAAUAUAUUAACGUUAGGUUAUGGCAAUGGAAAGUUGCAGUAGUCCAAAACGGAACAAAAUCAUGCCAAAAAAAUUGAAGGGGAAGAAUACUAAUUAAAAAAUAACUACAUAAUAUAAACUCGUAAGAUAAAGGGAAAGAACGAAAUAAAUUUUCUCUUUGGAAUGUGAGUUUUUUGGGAAUUUGUCUAAAAUUUUACUAUAACUUACUAUAGAAGCUUUUUAAAAAAAUUUUGAAAUGUGUAGGUGUUUGAAUAUUUUGAAGUGUAUAGUUUAAAAAUUUUGAAAAAUUUUUUGAGGUUACUGUAGCUAAAGUUUUUAAAAAACCCAUGACAGACAACUUGACAAAAAACUUUGAGUUACAAACAAUUGCCUGCUAGUCUACGACGAUAUGACUGAAUUUUAAUAGGUUAUUGCGCUGAAUUUUGUACAUGCAAUUUUGUUGGUCAAGCAUUACAUGAGGCAAGAAAACAGGACAUCACAUCCAUUCCAUUUUGAUACCUAACAUAAAGAGUUUGCCCAUUUAUGGGCAAAACGCCCACGUCUUUCCAAGGAAAACAUGUGUGAAAAUUGGGUUGAAUGGAUCCAUACUGCAUGUGCUGGGUUGCCUAGAAGAUCCAUAAUAUUAAAGUUUUAACUCCAGGCGGUUUCAAAAGGGACCCAAUUUCAGGCAGACGUCGAGCAACUUGUCCACCAGUUAUUUCUAAAUCCUGGUGGGCUCAAGGCCCAGUCCUCAUAACUCGACCUCCUCAAAGGCCUGGCAAGAUAACUACAAUCAGUUGACUUCCUUGACUGUCAUAAAUCAGGCAGAACCCAAUUCAUUGGAGGCAGGCCAUAAAGAUAUUAAUUUGUUUGGAUAAAGUAUUAUUUAAAAUAAUUACUGUGAUAUUUUUUAUAAUAUAAUGUAUGUUAGAUUAAAAAGGUGUUUAGGAAUAUAAAAAAAUGAGUUGAGAAAUAUGUUUAUAAUAUAAGUAAAAGAACUACAUAUCUACUAUUUGGGCCACACGAUUGAUGGAUGAUAUGAUGGUUUAAUCUUGAUUACACAUAUAUUUAUAGGUGGAAAAUCGAAAUUCAAUUGGUCUAUCUAGUUUAGCUGUGUUUAUCAAAGGCGUGGAGGUUAACCUUGCGACGUUACACCGCCUUUAUCUGCACUAGACAUUAGUCACAAAGGCGUAGAAUAGAGCAUCUCCUCUUAGCUUUCUACUGCGAUGAUAAUACCCCCCAAAUCCACAUUCCAACCACAUAAAUAGAAAGCCGGAAAAAGGCAGAAUCAGAACUCAGAAGACAAGGUGCAAGAAAUACAUCAAAACCGACAUAACACAGAAAGCGGAAAAAAGCAGAAUCAGAACUCAGAAGACAAGUUGCAAGAAAGGCAGCAAAACUGAGGCUAAAUAUCAUAAGAAGCCAAACUACACGUCCACAUUCAUACACCUCUUUUUACACGCGGGGGCGGGGGGAAUAUAAAUAGUACUGUACUACUUAACCAGGCGAAAACUACCAACCACAUUAAAGGCAACUGCAAAAUUUUCAGCUUAACAUGUUACUUACAGAUAUCUGGUCACAUUUAUUGACUAGAUUAUCGUGAUCUUGAUGCUUCGGCCU
rnacentral:lncRNA from 1 species